UAUUGGUCAAUAGCCUAACCGGCUGAACCAGCAACUUGGAGGAAUGUACAGGGAAAACUGGUAAAAUGUGAUGUACCUGAUAGUAUUAGUGAUUAAUAUGAAAUUAACUAAGUUAAUUAAAAUUCGAAGUAGAUAUGUGAUUAUGACAAUAUUUGCUUAUUUCUUGACUAAGUCACGUGCCAGCAGUCGCGGUAAUACGUGGUAGAUAAGUGUUAUUCAUCUUUAAUAGGUUUAAAGGGUACCUAGACGGUUAAUUAAGCAUAUAAGUGUACUAAUUAUUAACUAGAGUUUAAUGUAAGAAGGAUUGAGUACGGUGAGUGUAGAGAUAAAAUUCUAUCAUACCACUUAGGAACUGGUAAAGGCGAAGGCAACCUUUUAUGUAAAAACUGACGUUGAAGGACGAAGGA
rnacentral:rRNA from 1 species